rnacentral:rRNA from 1 species
AUUGAACGCUAGCGGCAUGCCUAACACAUGCAAGUCGAGCGGCAGCGCGUCCGACCACCCUCGGGUGGUCGGAUGGCGGCGAGCGGCGGACGGGUGAGGAAUGCAUCGGAAUCUGCCUCGUUGUGGGGGGAUAACGUAGGGAAACUUACGCUAAUACCGCAUACGACCUACGGGUGAAAGUGGGGGACCUUCGGGCCUCACGCGAUGAGAUGAGCCGAUGCCGGAUUAGCUAGUUGGCGGGGUAAAGGCCCACCAAGGCGACGAUCCGUAGCUGGUCUGAGAGGAUGAUCAGCCACACUGGAACUGAGACACGGUCCAGACUCCUACGGGAGGCAGCAGUGGGGAAUAUUGGACAAUGGGGGGCAACCCUGAUCCAGCCAUGCCGCGUGUGUGAAGAAGGCC